UACGUAGGUGGCAAGCGUUGUCCGGAAUUAUUGGGCGUAAGGCGCUCGCAGGUGGUUCGAUGCGUCGUGCGUGAAAGACCCCGGCUCAACUGGGGAGGGUCGUGCGAUACGGUCGAACUGGAGGCCAGUAGGGGGAUGCGGAAUUCCGGGUGUAGUGGUGGAAUGCGUAGAGAUCCGGAGGAACACCAGCGGCGAAGGCGGCAUCCUGGACUGGUCCUGCCACUCAGGAGCGAAAGCGUGGGGAGCGAUCCGG
rnacentral:misc_RNA from 1 species